CGUAGGGGCAAGCGUUGUCCGGAUUUAUUGGGGCGUAAAGAGCGUGUAGGCGGCCAAAUAGGUCAGCUGUGAAAACUCGAGGCUCAACCUCGAGAUGUCGGCUGAAACCAUCUGGCUAGAGUCCGGAAGAGGAGAAUGGAAUUCCCGGUGUAGCGGUGAAAUGCGCAGAUAUCGGGAAGAACACCCGUGGCGAAGGCGGUUCUCGUGGGACGGUACUGACGCUGAGACGCGAAAGCGUGGGGAGCGAACAGGAUU
rnacentral:rRNA from 1 species